rnacentral:rRNA from 1 species
GUUUAACACUGCAAGUCGAACGGAAACGAAAAUAGCUUGCUAUUUGGCGUCGAGUGGCGAACGGGUGAGUAACGCGUAGGAAUCUACCCAGUAGAGGGGGAUAGCCCGAAGAAAUUCGGAUUAAUACCGCAUAAUCUCUACGGAGUAAAGAAGGCCUCUUUACAAUGCUUUUACUAUUGGAUGAGCCUGCGUUAGAUUAGUUAGUUGGUAGGGUAAAAGCCUACCAAGGCGACGAUCUAUAGCUGGUUUUACGAGAAUGAUCAGCCACACUGGAACUGAGACACAGUCCAGACUCCUACGGGAGGCAGCAGUGAAGAAUAUUGGACAAUGGGGGAAACCCUGAUCCAGCAAUGUUGCGUGUGUGAAGAAGGUCCGAGGAUUGUAAAGCACUUUCAGUAAGCAAGAAAAAUGUAAAUCUAAUAGAUUUGCAUGUUGACCACUUAUAGAAGAAGCACCGGCUAACUCCGUGCCAGCAGCCGCGGUAAUACGGAAGGUGCGAGCGUUAAUCGGAAUUUACUGGGCGUAAGGGUAAGUANGCGGUU